GAUGAACGCUAGCUACAGGCUUAACACAUGCAAGUCGAGGGGCAGCAUGGUCUUAGCUUGCUAAGGCCGAUGGCGACCGGCGCACGGGUGAGUAACACGUAUCCAACCUGCCGUCUACUCUUGGACAGCCUUCUGAAAGGUAGAUUAAUACAAGAUGGCAUCAUGAGUCCACAUGUUCACAUGAUUAAAGGUAUUCCGGUAGACGAUGGGGAUGCGUUCCAUUAGAUAGUAGGCGGGGUAACGGCCCACCUAGUCUUCGAUGGAUAGGGGUUCUGAGAGGAAGGUCCCCCACAUUGGAACUGAGACACGGUCCAAACUCCUACGGGAGGCAGCAGUGAGGAGUAUUGGUCAAUGGGCGAGAGCCUGAACCAGCCAAGUAGCGUGAAGGAUGACUGCCCUAUGGGUUGUAAGCUUCUUUUAUAAAGGAAUAAAGUCGGGUAUGCAUACCCGUUUGCAUGUACUUUAUGAAUAAGGAUCGGCUAACUCCGUGCCAGCCGCCGCCGUAA
rnacentral:rRNA from 1 species